AUUGCUACAAGUCUGCUGCAGGUGUUGUCAACAGGAUGUGUUCGCAUUGUUUGUUCCCAGCUUGAGCUCAACAGACUUGUUACAAGUUGUUAUCGUCCUGCAAUUCAACAAUUUGUCAACAGGUUGUGAGUGCAUACAACCUCGUAACAACUUGAUAAAAUAACAGCAUUGUUAUACAACUUGUUGACAAGCUUGCGAACGCAUCUUGUUGACAAGUUGUGAGAUUUUUACGUGUGUAUAUAUAUACAGUACGUUAUAUAUUGUUCAAUUCAGGAUGUAAAAGUUACACUUGGUUUUAUAGGCUAAAUGGAAAAUUCUUUUGCACAACCGUUCUCAGUUUAAAGCACAUAUAAAGCGAACAUAAAGCGAUUUACCAUACAUCGAGGUUUUUAUAAUCUAGUUCUAUACAAUCUAUAACGUCUGCUUCGCGUUUCUUCAAUAGUCGUGUACUUUGCAUCACAAUGAAUUAACCAGUCAACUAGUUUCUUAUCAACCAAUACUUAUUUUGAUUCAGUUCCCUGAAAGCAAAUAACAUAAUUUCCC